UACGUAGGGGGCAAGCGUUGUCCGGAAUCAUUGGGCGUAAAGAGCGCGUAGGCGGCCCUAUAAGUCCGCUGUGAAAGUCAAGGGCUCAACCCUUGAAUGCCGGUGGAUACUGCAGGGCUAGAGUCCGGAAGAGGCGAGUGGAAUUCCUGGUGUAGCGGUGAAAUGCGCAGAUAUCAGGAGGAACACCUAUGGCGAAGGCAGCUCGCUGGGACGGUACUGACGCUGAGGCGCGAAAGCCAGGGGAGCAAACGGG
rnacentral:rRNA from 1 species